UACGUAGGGUGCAAGCGUUAAUCGGAAUUACUGGGCGUAAAGCGUGCGCAGGCGGUUUUGUAAGCCAGAUGUGAAAAGCCCCGGGCGUCAACCUACGGGAACGUAGCGUUUGGUAACGUACAAGACUAGAGUGUGUCAGAGGGGGUGGGAAUUCCGCGUGUAGCAGUGAAAUAGCGUAGAGAUGCGGAGGAACACCGAUGGCGAAGGCAGCCCCUCGGGAGUAACACUGACGCUCAUGCACGAAAGACGU
rnacentral:rRNA from 1 species